ACGGAAGGCAGCAGUGGGGAAUAUUGCACAAUGGGGGAAACCCUGAUGCAGCGACGCCGCGUGAAGGAUGACGUAUUUCGGUAUGUAAACUUCUAUCAGCAAGGAAGAUGAUGACGGUACUUGACUAAGAAGCCCCGGCUAACUACGUGCCAGCAGCCGCGGUAAUACGUAGGGGGCAAGCGUUAUCCGGAUUUACUGGGUGUAAAGGGAGCGCAGGCGGCCAUGCAAGUCAGAAGUGAAAGCCCGGGGCUCAACCCCGGGACUGCUUUUGAAACUGUAAGGCUAGAGUGCCGGAGAGGUAAGCGGAAUUCCUAGUGUAGCGGUGAAAUGCGUAGAUAUUAGGAGGAACACCAGUGGCGAAGGCGGCUUACUGGACGGUAAAUGACGCUGAGGCUCGAAAGCGUGGGGAGCAAACAGGAUUAGAUACCCUGGUA
rnacentral:rRNA from 1 species